rnacentral:rRNA from 1 species
UACGUAGGGCGCAAGCGUUAUCCGGAAUUAUUGGGCGUAAAGAGCUCGUAGGCGGUUUGUCGCGUCUGCCGUGAAAGUCCGGGGCUCAACUCCGGAUCUGCGGUGGGUACGGGCAGACUAGAGUGAUGUAGGGGAGACUGGAAUUCCUGGUGUAGCGGUGAAAUGCGCAGAUAUCAGGAGGAACACCGAUGGCGAAGGCAGGUCUCUGGGCAUUAACUGACGCUGAGGAGUGAAAGUGUGGGGAGCGAACAGG